CUAGAAAUGCCAGAACUAAUUCAGAAAGCUCAUCCUUAAGACUUCCUUCCUCUAGAACAACUAGUAAAGUUUCUCUCAGACAGGAUUUUUAGAGAAACAGAAAAAAAAUAAGAUACACACACACAAAUAUACACAUGCAAAGAGACAGACAGAGAUGGAGACGGAAAGACAAGGACAAGAAGAUGGAAUCUGAGCUAAUGGCAGAGACAUGGAACCAGUAGAGAAGAGACCCACUGUCUUCAGAGAGUGCUGACCAGGAAGAGGAGAAGCCUUGGGGACUGGAUCAGGUGUCUGUCCCUAGGUCCCCAUUCCUGACUCUUCUCCUGCCACCCUGAUCUGGGUGUAGCAUCAUAUUAGGUAAUUUGGCUGAAAAAACUGCUAACUUGGGAAAAUGUCCCCUGUCCAUAGGAGCAGGACAUCCCAGACUCAAGAAGCUCAUAAACCCACAAGCACUCUGUCCUUCAUCUCCCCACCACAGCCUCCUAGACAAGACCCCAAAUCACCCCACAUACUUUGCUCCCAACCCAAUGCCUGCUCCAGGCAAUCUCAUGUCUCCUACCCUAAUCCCUGGGGUUUGCCCUGCUCUCAGAGCAAAGUCUCCCCACCAGGAACAGCCACCAACCCAAACCCCAAGGAAUGGUCCAGAAUCUCAGGCCCUCCUGUGUCCCUGGAUCCCCAGCCCUGGUCCUCUGCCCCCUUCAAACCCACAGCCCAGCUCCCUCUCUUAGCCCAGUCCCUGGGCCCUCCUGCCAAGCCUGCCCUCCCUGACCCAGCACUCCCUCUGCAGAUGCUGUGAUUGCCAUCCAGUCCCAGACUGUGGGAGGCUGGGAGUGUGAGAAGCUUUCCCAACCCUGGCAGGGUUGUACCAUUUCGGCAACUUCCAGUGCAAGGACGUCCUGCUGCAUCCUCACUGGGUGCUCACUACUGCUCACUGCAUCACCCGGAACACUGUGAUCAACUAGCCAGCACCAUAGUUCUCCGAAGUCAGACUAUCAUGAUUACUGUGUUGACUGUGCUGUCUAUUGUACUAACCAUGCCGAUGUUUAGGUGAAAUUAGCGUCACUUGGCCUCAACCAUCUUGGUAUCCAGUUAUCCUCACUGAAUUGAGAUUUCCUGCUUCAGUGUCAGCCAUUCCCACAUAAUUUCUGACCUACAGAGGUGAGGGAUCAUAUAGCUCUUCAAGGAUGCUGGUACUCCCCUCACAAAUUCAUUUCUCCUGUUGUAGUGAAAGGUGCGCCCUCUGGAGCCUCCCAGGGUGGGUGUGCAGGUCACAAUGAUGAAUGUAUGAUCGUGUUCCCAUUACCCAAAGCCUUUAAAUCCCUCAUGCUCAGUACACCAGGGCAGGUCUAGCAUUUCUUCAUUUAGUGUAUGCUGUCCAUUCAUGCAACCACCUCAGGACUCCUGGAUUCUCUGCCUAGUUGAGCUCCUGCAUGCUGCCUCCUUGGGGAGGUGAGGGAGAGGGCCCAUGGUUCAAUGGGAUCUGUGCAGUUGUAACACAUUAGGUGCUUAAUAAACAGAAGCUGUGAUGUUAA
ensembl:lncRNA KLKP1 kallikrein pseudogene 1